CCUGUCCUCCUCCGGUCGUCAUCAUGGAGCGAUCGGGUUGGUUGAUUCUUCUCUUUGCUUCCGUCUUCAUGUCAAACUGUGUCGGAGUCCAGAGAGAAAGAACAGCAACAAGCAUCUAAUUAAACGCUGAUGCUAAUACGAUUUAGCACAGCGGAGGAUAAGCUGCCCGGAGCUUUGCUCACAGAUGCACCGUCAUGGAUGAGCUGCUUUGACGGACGUGUGGAGCAAGAAGUGUGGACUCUGAACAUGUGUUCCAGACACAUUAGGAGACCCUGGAGCAGACCCAGAACACGCUGGAGGGACUACAUAGGAUCCCCCAGGAGGAGGAGCUGGAGGACAUGAUGACUUUUGCUGUAUUGUCGUCUUAAGUCGGGAUCAGAACCUUAAACGUCGUUUCACCCGC